rnacentral:rRNA from 1 species
UACGGGGGGGGCAAGCGUUGUUCGGAAUUACUGGGCGUAAAGGGCUCGUAGGCGGCCAACUAAGCCAGACGUGAAAUCCCCGGGCUCAACCCGGGAACUGCGUUCGAUACUGGCAGGCUUGAAUCCGGGAGAGGGAUGUGGAAUUCCAGGUGUAGCGGUGAAAUGCGUAGAUAUCUGGAGGAACACCGGUGGCGAAGGCGGCAUCCUGGACCGGUAUUGACGCUGAGGCGCGAAAGCGUGGGGAGCAAACAGG